ensembl:snRNA U6 U6 spliceosomal RNA
AUGUUGGCUUCGGCAGCACAUAUACUGAAAAAUGGGAAUGAUACAGAGAAGAUUAGCACAGUCCUGCGCAAGGACGACACGCAAAUUUGUGAAGCGUUCCACGUUUUU